CGAGUUGGUCAGGCGAUCGCUGGUAAGCCAUCUGGUUUGCGAGAGGAAAGUCCGGGCUCUACAGGACAGGAUGGUCGGUAACGCCGACCGAUCGUGAGAUCAGGGAAAGUGCAACAGAAAAUAAACCGCCUGAAUUUUGGUUCGCCAAAGAUCGGGUAAGGGUGAAAAGGUGGGGUAAGAGCCCACCAGUAUUCGGGGCGACUCGAGUAGCUUGGUAAACCCCAUCCGGAGCAAGGCCAAACAGAAAGAAGCGGUUGUUCGCCGCGUUUUAACUUUCGGGUAGGCUGCUUGAGUGCGUCAGCAAUGUCGCGCCUAGAUAAAUGAUCGUCGUCGGUGUAAACCGACUACAGGACCCGGCUUACGACCAACUCGUUUU
rnacentral:RNase_P_RNA from 2 species